UCCCUGGUGGUCAAGUGGCUAAGACUCCACAUUCCUGAUGCAGGGGCCCUGGGUUCGAUCCCUGGUCAGAGAA
rnacentral:tRNA from 1 species